rnacentral:rRNA from 1 species
GUGGGGAAUUUUGGACAAUGGGCGCAAGCCUGAUCCAGCAAUGCCGCGUGCAGGAAGAAGGCCCUCGGGUUGUAAACUGCUUUUGUACGGAACGAAAAGCUCUGGGCUAAUACCCCGGAGUCAUGACGGUACCGUAAGAAUAAGCACCGGCUAACUACGUGCCAGCAGCCGCGGUAAUACGUAGGGUGCAAGCGUUAAUCGGAAUUACUGGGCGUAAAGCGUGCGCAGGCGGUUUUGUAAGACAGUGGUGAAAUCCCCGGGCUCAACCUGGGAACUGCCAUUGUGAAUGCAAAGCUAGAGUGCGGCAGAGGGGGAUGGAAUUCCGCGUGUAGCAGUGAAAUGCGUAGAUAUGCGGAGGAACACCGAUGGCGAAGACAAUCCCCUGGGCCUGCACUGACGCUCAUGCACGAAAGCGUGGGGAGCAAACAGGAUUAGAUACCCCGGUAGUCC